rnacentral:rRNA from 1 species
CCUACGGGAGGCAGCAGUGGGGAAUAUUGCGCAAUGGGCGAAAGCCUGACGCAGCGACGCCGCGUGAGGGAUGAAGGUCUUCGGAUCGUAAACCUCUGUCAGCAGGGAAGAACGGUCACUGUGCUAAUCAGCAGUGAAUUGACGGUACCUGCAAAGGAAGCACCGGCUAACUCCGUGCCAGCAGCCGCGGUAAUACGGAGGGGGCGAGCGUUAAUCGGAAUUACUGGGCGUAAAGCGCUCGUAGGCGGUAUGUCAAGUCAAGGGUGAAAUCCCCGCGCUUAACGUGGGAACUGCAUUUGAAACUGGCAAACUGGAGUGUGUGAGAGGAUGGGGGAAUUCCAGGUGUAGGAGUGAAAUCCGUAGAUAUCUGGAGGAACAUCAGUGGCGAAGGCGACUAUCUGGAACAUAACUGACGCUGAGGAGCGAAAGCGUGGGUAGCAAACAAGAUUAGAUACCCGGGUAGUC